CUGCAGGCGACGAGUUCUGAUUAUUGAAAGGUGCUUGCAUCUUGAUUUAAUUUUGAACGAGUGGCGGACGGGUGAGUAACACGUGGGUAACCUGCCCUUAAUGGGGGGAUAACAUUUGGAAACAGAUGCUAAUACCGCAUAAAUCCAAGAACCGCAUGGUUCUUGGCUGAAAGAUGGCGUAAGCUAUCGCUUUUGGAUGGACCCGCGGCGUAUUAGCUAGUUGGUGAGGUAACGGCUCACCAAGGCAAUGAUACGUAGCCGAACUGAGAGGUUGAUCGGCCACAUUGGGACUGAGACACGGCCCAAACUCCUACGGGAGGCAGCAGUAGGGAAUCUUCCACAAUGGACGCAAGUCUGAUGGAGCAACGCCGCGUGAGUGAAGAAGGCUUUCGGGUCGUAAAACUCUGUUGUUGGAGAAGAAUGGUCGGCAGAGUAACUGUUGUCGGCGUGACGGUUUCCAACCAGAAAGCCACGGCUAACUACGUGCCAGCAGCCGCGGUAAUACGUAGGUGGCAAGCGUUAUCCGGAUUUAUUGGGCGUAAAGCGAGCCCAAGCGGUUUUUCAAGUCUGAUGUGAAAAUCCCUCGGCUUAACCGAGGAAGUGCAUCGGAAACUGGGAAACUUGAGUGCAGAAGAGGACAGUGGAACUUCCAUGUGUAGCGGUGAAAUGCGUAGGUAUAUGGAAGAACACCAGUGGCGAAGGCGGCUGUCUGGUCUGUAACUGACGCUGAGGCUCGAAAGCAUGGGUAGCGAACAGGAUUAGAUACCCUGGUAGUUCAUGCCGUAAACGAUGAAUGCUAGGUGUUGGAGGGUUUCCGCCCUUCAGUGCCGCAGCUAACGCAUUAAGCAUUCCGCCUGGGGAGUACGACCGCAAGGUUGAAACUCAAAGGAAUUGACGGGGGCCCGCACAAGCGGUGGAGCAUGUGGUUUAAUUCGAAGCAACGCGAAGAACCUUACCAGGUCUUGACAUCUUUUGAUCACCUGAGAGAUCAGGUUUCCCCUUCGGGGGCAAAAUGACAGGUGGUGCAUGGUUGUCGUCAGCUCGUGUCGUGAGAUGUUGGGUUAAGUCCCGCAACGAGCGCAACCCUUAUGACUAGUUGCCAGCAUUUAGUUGGGCACUCUAGUAAGACUGCCGGUGACAAACCGGAGGAAGGUGGGGAUGACGUCAAAUCAUCAUGCCCCUUAUGACCUGGGCUACACACGUGCUACAAUGGAUGGUACAACGAGUUGCGAGACCGCGAGGUCAAGCUAAUCUCUUAAAGCCAUUCUCAGUUCGGACUGUAGGCUGCAACUCGCCUACACGAAGUCGGAAUCGCUAGUAAUCGCGGAUCAGCACGCCGCGGUGAAUACGUUCCCGGGCCUUGUACACACCGCCCGUCACACCAUGAGAGUUUGUAACACCCGAAGCCGGUGGCGUAACCCUUUUAGGGAGCGAGCCGUCUAAGGUGGGACAAAUGAUU
rnacentral:rRNA from 2 species